UCUGUGCAAUUGCGACCUUAUAAUGCAAUCGCAUUCUCUGCUCCAAUUGCUGUUUUUGUUUCUGUAUUCCUGAUUUAUCCAUUAGGCCAGUCUGGUUGGUUUUUUGCGCCUAGUUUUGGUGUAGCAGCUAUAUUUCGAUUCAUCCUCUUUUUCCAAGGGUUUCAUAACUGGACGCUGAACCCAUUUCAUAUGAUGGGAGUUGCCGGCGUAUUGGGCGCUGCUCUGCUAUGCGCUAUUCAUGGUGCUACUGUAGAAAAUACUUUAUUUGAAGAUGGUGAUGGUGCAAAUACAUUCCGUGCCUUUAACCCAACUCAAGCUGAAGAAACUUAUUCAAUGGUCACCGCUAACCG
rnacentral:misc_RNA from 1 species